UAGAUUGAUAUCUAAUACCUAGAGGGCGAAGGUGAAUGGCGUGAAAGAGCCAAACCACAAUCUCAGAUGCAAUAAAAAAUAAAUGCCCGAAAAAUAAAAGCCACACCGAGACUUUACGUGGGAAAACUCCAACUUGGAGAAAACCACAGAACCAACACGCGAAAAAUAACUCACUAAGAGAAAAGAUUACAGGUGAUUACCGCACUUACUACGGACUCAAUCUCUUACUUACCUGAUGAAUCUCGUCGCGUCCCUCCGAUUGUCCACGGCCUCACGUAUCGACAUCCACGAACGCCUGCCACUUUGAACUCCACGAAGCUUCCAUCACGCCGAUCAUCACGACGCCAUCGAAUCCACAGAGGCAACGUCCGAAUUACGAACCGCUUAGUGUUCACGCGUAAUCCACGACGGCCGUUAUGAGAGCAUAUGACUAUGGUGAUCCUAUCGCUUUAGGAGUCAUCGUAGAAAACAGGAAUAGAACUCAAGCGAAGACUUAGAAUCAACUCGACAUAUAGCGAAUGCCAAACGUUAUCUCGAUUUGAUCUUGAAAGAGGCUAAUUUGUAGAAAAUAGGUUUUUAGAAUGAAAUCCGAGCUCUAGGGUUUCUCAAACAUGUAUUCUUAUGAUGCUUAAACAGUUAGAGAACUCCAAUAGCUUAUUUAUAGACUUUAGAAUCAAAACGGAGUAGGAUUAGAAAGUUUCUUUCCAUAUUCAGCACCUUGUACCGGUACAAGGGAAGCUGUCCAGGGUACAACAUGACGGAAGAUUUUUCUGCGAAGCUUCUGUACCCUGAACAGACUUCAGCUUGUUCCGGAACAGGGCUUGUACCGGUAUAGCCGUGAUGGUUGUACCGGAACAACUAUCGUAAAACCCUGCGUUAAUAGCCGAUGUCUGUACCGGUACAGCAAAACCCUUGUACCGGUACAACAAUGCAAUUUUCGCUGAAAAUGCAUUGUUUCGAGUUUUACAAGCUCUUAGAAACUUUCUAAUCAAUUACAACUUGAAAACAUGAUUCUAAAAUCUAUAAUUAAGUAUGAAUCACCAUAAACAAGAUUUAAAGCUUACCUAAGCAUCGUGAUUCAAGUUUUGCAUGUUUUGCGUCCUUUCCGAUUCUUCGAAGUCUUGGAUUCUCCAAUCUUCAAUACUCCGCUCCGGACUAUUUCAAGACUCCGACUCGACCCACGAAACUUGCCAACACAUAGGACCUAACAUGUUAUAGUGGGACCUCAUUUUUCUUGUCCGGUAACAAAAUGGAAUAGUACAGUGUGUUUCUUAAAAACAAUAAAAAUAGAUACUUUGCUAUUUUCAUGCCUGUCAGUUUCUUUUGAGGAUGCUGGGUAUUUCAUUCUGUAUAUCAGCAAUGUUGGUGAUGAAAACUAGUUUGUAUCUAUUGCUUAGUAAUUUUUGAUUGUGACUUGUGAUAGCAAGGUCCUUGUUCUCCCUAUAUUUCUGACUACACAAUGUUCUCAACAGCCAAAAGUUUUUGCCUCAAUAGUCUUUCUGAUUUGCUAUGCUUGAAUUGUCUUCAUGUUCUCUAAUGCUAUUGCAUGUUAAUGUUUGACAGGAAAACAUACUAUUUUCGGAAGAGUAUGCAGAGGGAUGGAGGUAGUCAAGCGACUUGGAAGUGUUCAGACUGACAACAGUGACAGGUAACUUGAAUUUUGAAAGAUAUAAUUAAGUGUUAUGUUAAAGAACAAUAAUUACUAAACCUAGCCCUACUUCAUCCCUUUUAUCUUGAGUGGUAUAAGGGCUCGUUUGGUUUGGUGUAGUUGUAAAUACAUUGUAGUUGGAUAUGCAUACAAUUAGAAAUGAUGCAGUUGCAACUACAUCCAUACCAUUUGGUUCUGUGCCGCUGAAAAUGCUACAGAUGCAACUAUUUUUGUUUGGAUGCAUGCAGCUGAAAGUUGCAUCUGUAACUAAUGGUAUCUAGCUAGUGUGUCAGAUGGUGAAAUUAUUCCGUAUGUGUACAAAAUGAUAUGCUAUCACUAAAAGAAAAAAAAUUAUACCAGAUGAGUGUACUAUCACUUUCCAAAUACUUUAACGAUACUAAUUUAUCACAAUUAAAUAUUAAAGAUAGUUCAAAAAAAAAAAAAAACUUCUCCAUCACAUAAUCAACUAUAAUAUAGUGUGAUGAAAACAGUUGAUUUAAAAAAAAAACUCAAACUAUUAUCUUAAUUUCUAUAAACUAAUAUCACCCAUUCAAAAGUCAUGGAGAAAAGAAAUAUUACUUGUAGAAACAUGGAUUUUUUUUUUUCCCAUUACAUCCAACCUGAAAAUCUCAAAACAUCUAAACACGUUAAUAGGUCGUCUCCAAGAGUAAGUGUCAGUGUAAUAAACUUUUAUUUUUAAAUAUCUUUCCAUCCACCUCUUUCACAAUUCAAGAGUCUUUGUCAUAAACCCUCUUGCCGGCCUAUCAUUUGCUAGCAAGUAAUUAUAAGCAUCUUUGACUUUUUUGGGUGGAUAUCCUAAUUUCAUUAUAUCUUGAAAUAGUUCGUUUGAGAAUCGAACAGUUUUUGAGUAUCUUUAGUGCUAAGGCAACUUGUCCAACUUGUGCAGCUAACUCAUUGAUCGCCUCAAUCUCUCAGCCGCGCGAGCUGUUUUUUCAACCACUUGUUUUAACUUCACCCCUAAAGGAAGAAAGUGUCGUUUUCUCAGAAUGCUACGUGGUUGACAUGAAUCAACCAAUUCAAACUCCAACCCUACAUCACAACCAAUCGUUGCUUCCGCACUAUCAAAACCUUGGAUAUUUGGGUCCAUACCAAGCAAUUGAUCUACUUAGUGUACUUCCCUGUAGCUUGAUCGGAACCACAUAUUAAGGCAAGCUCAUCGUAAUUCUCUAUGAUUGUGUUUGGUUAGGGCAUAAGGAGAGGAAUAAGGGCUUAUUUCCCUCCUUAUACCCAAACAAAAAAAAAUUUUGGUGGGAACAAUAGUUCCCACCUUAACGGGUUAUCCUAGGAUAACCCAUUAGUUCCCACCCCUUAGGUGGAACAAGCUGGAACAAGCAGCUUGUUCCAGCCUUUUCGAGAGAGAGAGAGAGAGGGAGGGAGGGAGGGAGGGAGGGAGGGUUUUCUUAAUAAUGUAACAUCUAAAGCACAAAGAAUUUUAUUCGAGGUUCCUUUCGCUCUUAAGAAUUUCAUAUCAAGUUGUUGUAAAGCAUAUAUGCUUGGCUGAUUUAUACGGGUUCUUGUCAUAAAGGCCAUCUUUGCCGAUAGCAGGCUCUCGGCCACUUUCACCAUUUUUACCCCGGAACUGUAAGCCAGGAGGGUCUUGUGCACCAACAAUAGUCUUGCUUGACUCUCACCUUUGUAAAAGGUCCCGAAUAGUAUUCUAGGUGAAUCUGUCAAAGGUCUAUGGGAACAAUAUAAAGCAAAAUAUCCUCAAGACUUUCAAAAUCUAAUAAAUUUAGGUGCCAAUCCAUAUAAUUUUACGAAUAAGGUUAUUCCUUAAUUACAGGAGAAGACCUUAAUUCAGGACAUAUGGGACUACAAAAGGGUGCUUUAAUUAAGUUAGAACAACAAAGUAUAGAUAAUUGGAUAUAUAUAAAGUCUUUUUUGAAUGAUUAUUUUUUACUAUACUAGCAUUAGUCGAAACGCCUUUAAUCAAGAAAUAGGAAAUAAACUUUUUCAUAAAUUACCAGGAGCCUUAGGACGAGAAAUAGCCACUAGGUGAGAACAAAGACCAGGAGUACUGCAGAACCCAAAUGACGAAUGGCCCAUAGGACACCGAAUGCAACAUAUAAUUACUAUACUAUAAGAAAAAUGUACGAAUAUACAAAUACAAAAGCAAUUAAAACGAAAUGAAUAUAAUUUCUGUCGACAUAUUAUGUAUACAGGACAGCAGUGUGCUCAAAAUCCUAAACAUCAGCAGUCUCAAAAGUAUAAGCAAAAUAGAUAUUAUAGGCUAACUAUAAACCUGGAUAUAAGAAAAGGUAUUUCUUAAGAAAAUCUUUUGCUAGAAAACCAUAUUUAAAUAAAGAUAGACAUGUACGAAAAUAUAGAGCAGGAAGAGAUUAUGAAAAUAGAUUAGCAUGCUUUACUUGUGGAAGUACAGAUCACUUAGCCAAUACCUGUACUAAAAGAAUGAAUCGAAAAGACAGAAAUUCCAUGUUAAUUGAAGAAACUCAAGAAAAUUUACUAUCUGUAGAUGAAUAUAUGUCUGACACUGAAUCACUUUAUUCGAUAGUUAGUAUAGAAGCUUGUGAAGAAAAUCACGAUAGUUCCUCUGAGGAAGAAAAUAAUCUUAACCUACUUACUGAAGUUAGCCCAGAUAUAGAUUCUAUGGCCGACAUUCUAGGACAACUUAAUUUAAUGAACACAGAAAUUCCCACCUUAGAAUGUAAACAUCAAUGGCAAUUAAAAGCAGGAUUAGAUAGUUAAAAAUGUUAUAUAUGCUUAUGGCAUCCUGGCAAAGAUAAGUGAUGCAAAUGUUUAUACUGUUAUAAAGAAGUUUGAAUAACAUGCAUAGAGAAAAUUUACAAUAUUUCUCUACAAGCUAAAGAGACAUUAAAUAUAGAUAAAACAAAAUAUAUUGCCUUAACCAAACGGAUUGAAGCCUUAGAAGAAAGAUUAUUAGUAAUAGAAUUAAGAAUAGACGAAAUAGAAUUAAGAAAUGAUAAAGGAAAAAGACCUAACAUUGAAACUGAGAUACCGGAUAAAGGGAACAAACAUCAUGGACUCAAACUUGGAAAUUGUCAGCUUGAAACCAACUACAUUUGUAAUAUAGAUAAAAGUCUUAGGACCAUAAUAGUUAAAUGCAAAAUAAAAAUAAAAAAUUAGAUAAUAGAAACAACUGCAUUGGUGGAUACUGGCUGCACCACUUGUCUAAUAAAUUCUGCCAUAGUACCACACAAUAUUACAAAUUAGCAUAUGAACAUAUGGUAGCUAUGCAAAUGGACGGAACUAUACACACAUACGCACAUUAUAUUGACAACUUGAAAAUAAGUUUCUAUGAUACUUGCAAUUCCUAUGGUGAAUAUUAUAAUUUACCUAUAGUUUGGAUAAGGAAACUUAAUAUUAAUAGAGACUUCAUACUAGGACUAAACUUCAUACUCAACUCCUUAGGAGGCAUGACUAUUAGUAGAGAUUAUGUACAAUUUUCUUUUUCCUAAAAGAAUAACACAAACUCUAAUCUUAACUAAAAGGUUAAGAACUAGUAUAGCAAUACAACCUAGUCGAGAAGAACAACCUAGUCAAGAAGAAGAAGUACAACAAAUUGCCAAGACGUUUGUAUUAACUGUAACCAAGGAAAACCUUGUUUACAAAUAAGACUCAGUGAACAACAAGAUUGUUGUGAAAAUUACAAACAAGGAGAACCUUGUUGUUAACUUAGUAGCAAAGUGACCUUUGAUGAAAUAUUUCUAUGUUGACUCAAACAACGAAAAUACAAACUAUUUAACAAACUAUUUACUAGACGAUGAUCCUUUAGCUACUUAUCCUUUGGAAAUUGAUUCCGAAUUUAUUAACUGGGAAUAAAUGUUAUUAAAUAUAAGUGUAUUAAAAACCAACAAGAUAUAGAUGAGAUCCUUAAAAAAACUAGAUAAAAUUGAAAUAAUGGGUGAAAACCCAAUAAAAUAUUGGGAAAAAAACAAAAUAUUCUGUGAACUAGAAAUAAUAAACCCUGAAUAUACUAUUAAAACUGCUAAUAUAGAAGCCACUAACCAAGAUUUAAACGAUUUUAAAAUGCAUAUAUACUCUUUUUUUUUUUUUGACUGUUCUUCUUAAGUAAUUUUAUUAGAGUGUUGAUUGCUAGGCUGUCCUUGUGUUUCGGGUGGAAGGGAGAUACUAGGAGUAUUGUCACUCUGAGAGUCUUGCCAAUAUUGCCAAGUAUUUUUGAUAAUUUUAGCAUUUUGUUGAAGUUUGAAUAGAACCUUAUGCACAAUUUGCUCGAUUUGGAGAUGGCUGUCUUGGAUUCGUUCAAUUUGGUCAGUGAUAUUGGCGGUCUCGUGUUGUUCUAUUUUUUCUUUCCCUUCUACAUUUCCUUUCGUUUUUCGUCAGCCCUUGCUAUAGAUAAGAAUUGCGUAGAUGAAGUAGGCUGAUUGCUAUGGGCUAGUGUGUCGGAUAUGUCUUGAAAGGCAAUUAGUUGGAAAUGUCUCCCACACGAAGACUUUAUUUGAAAACAUAACUUAAACAAAAAAUCGCGAAAAAUUAUUUUGGAAGCUGUCCCCUACCCGGAGACCUUUAUUUUGAAAAAUGCUACCACGAGGGGUAGAAAGUCCUGAGAAACCGUUUGAAAGCCGUUUCCCACACCUUUAUUUUGAAAACGCUACCAUGGGGCGUAGAGUACCACAUUCGAAAACUGAGUCCAAAGCCACAAGUGUUCAAAAGCUACAAAAAUUCCACAGCCAUGAGUAUCCAAAACACAAAUACAUUAUCCAAAACCCGCAAGUAUGAAAUACCAACUAAACCACAUAUAUCUACUAUCAGGUGUAGGGGUGAACUAUACUAUCACCUAUAUGUCUAAUGUUAUGUAUGAAGUACUUAAGAACGUAUACCGUAGAUCAAGACCUCUAUGAUCGCCCACAAGCUACAGUCUCACGUUGCGUCCCGACCAAUCCCACCCGCAUCACCUGUGGAGAAAUGGGGGUGAGAAAUCAACGAGUCUCCCAGUGGGUACCGCAAGCCGACGAAGGCAAGUAUACUCACGGAUAACCAGGUAUAGGUAAAGAAAGGCCUACAGUAGCAAUGUAAGUGUAAAGACAGAAGAACUGUAAGUAAGCAUGCAACAACCGCUACUGUAGCUAUAUGCGUCAGCCGGAUGAAAAGUCCAAAUAUACCUAAUCUAUACCGCCGUGUCGGUCUAAGGACUUCAAGCAAGCCACAACCGCUCUGUCUGACAUAUAACUCUAGCAAAUGGCGGCUGGCCUCACGGGUUGGCAACUAACCACUUUUCUAGAAAAAAAAUCCUCCCGCGGGGGAUCAGACCGCUGAUAUUCGUGAAAUAUUCUCGAGCUGUGGCGAUCAAUGUGAAUAUGAUCAAUAGCUAACCAUCGGUGAAUAGUCGACAAUCAUUGUCCCUUGGGGCACACCGACCAAUAGGUCAUCGAAGUUGUACGGAAACACAAGUACUAACUGCUUAGGUCUACUAGGAUGGACAAGCUCAACAUCCUCUUAAGUAUGUAAGUACCGACCACUUAGGUCAACUGGAAAGUGUGAGAUCAAUGACACUAUAAGUACACGGGCACUGACCACUCAGGUCAACUGGAAUAUAAAUGCAAGUGUCACUACCGCUCUACUUCUAUUUCAUGGCAAACAGGAGAGUAUACUAAGUAGAGUAAGGGUUGAAGUCAUGUGGUGAAGAGCUUAAGUACUGGUAUGUAUAUAUGUAAGUAGUGAAAGGUAGGAAUGAAGGGAACAUCAUCAAACGUGCACUACUGAUCCGACUUUGGAUUGAAGUACCCACCUAUGUCAUAGUUGCACCUAGCUCCCGCGGUGUGCAAAACUAUCGACCGGACCUACGACAGGCCUACUGAGUUAGAAACCAAACCUAUUGACUCGAAAGACAUCGCUUACAAACCCAAAGUCACAUGCGGGAUCGGUUUUACAAAACCGAUUCUCGAACUCGCCAGAAAUUCCGAAAAUGCACUGGGAUGCCCGCGGGACCCACGAAACGUCUCGAAACACAUCGAUUCAUGUCGUGAGUUACCUGCUGUCCUGAAACACAUCCAUUUGAGUAUCUGGGUAGCAAACACAAGCACCAAGGUCAACUCGGUUGUCGUCGGUUGACCGUUUUGCUCCGGGCUUUCGGAAGUGUCCACUUUGGCAUCGGAAGCCUCCGCCGCUCACCUGUCGCCUCCAAACACAGGAGGAGACCCCAGCGGCCAAUCAACAAGGCUAGGCGAUGAUUUCUGGUGCGACCACGUAGCCGGAAACUCAUCGCGAUGCGAAAUCGCAUUCUACCGUUGAUUUUGCGAAAAACGCACCGAAACCCCUCCGUUGCUCAUCCACCGCCUCUGGACUUCGAAGAAGGCGAUAGCAAUCAGCCAACAAGGCUUGGUAGGGUCUCCAGGGCAUGCAAAUGGCCAACGUGCGAAAACCGCAACAUAAACUGUGUCAGGUCGGUGAAUUUUCGCCAAAUGAUGCCGUGGGACCUCGUUUCCACUUCGCGACGGCUCCCAGACCUUCGACGAUCAGUCGAGAGGUUGCUAACAGUGAUUACACGCUGUCUGACGCUCUACACGGGUCCCCAUUGCAAAAAACUUGCAAUCAACCCAACAUAGUAUUGAUUACUAUUCAAUUAACACAUAAACACGAAGUUCAAGCUCGUUACCCCGAUCCGCGUCGUAACGGAUCAAUCCAACCAGUCGAUUUGAUUCGUCUCAACGCGAUGAAGCUCGUGCUCGCUGUCCGGAGUGUGAUCGACAGCCGGAAGGCUUUGAAACAGUGGAAAACCCCCUCCAAUGGCGCGCUUUCGGAAGCGGCCGAGUCCCACGCGCGCACCGAAGCUUCAUUGCUUGUAGUGAAGGUGAGCACGGGACUCCAUGUGAUCCCAGGAGUGCGGUGCUCACGUCUCGGGCGCUCGCCGAAGCCUUCGGUGGCCGAAAAAUUAGGAUUGCCCAAAUCAGCCCCCGAAAACCACCUUAGUAGCAUCCAACAAGGCCCAACAAGGCCCAACAAGGCUAGGGCAUCACGGGGCCGGCGGCACGGCAGGGGGAGCUUCUGCCAAGGGAGGGUCCUCGCACUAAGGGGAGUUGGUCAGGACCCUUGGCCGACGGCGGCGGCGGCGCGGUGCGACGGGGGACCCCAAAAUAGACUCGCGGCUAGGGCAUUGUAGAUCCCAGCAGUGGCUGGUCGAGACGGUAAGGGGUGGUGCCGGCGGACCCCCCGGGACCUCCGGUGUUGUCUCGUGGCGGCGUGGUGUGGCGGCGGUGUCUCGGUCUCUCCCCACGGCCAUACAUGCUCUGUGGGGCUUAGCCUUGGCCGCGGCGGCACCCCAGGGCAUGACAUCACCGGGGAAGCUUCGGGGCUGGUCGUCGAGGUCUGGGUGGUCGGUGGCGGUGGUCCCGGCGGCUACCGGCAUGUUUAUAAGGGGGCUCAAGCUCCCCCCCUUCACAGCACCAUAAAGGAGAGAGAGAGAGAGAGAGAGAGAGAGAGAGAGAGGGAAGAAGUUGUUUCUUCUUCUUUGGCCGCCGGCGGUGGCGGCGAUGGCAGGACCCUCGCUCAGGUGGACCAGGGGAGAGGAAGAGGAUGGCCUAGGGUUGGGGUCUAGGGUUUGGGUUCCCAAAAACCCCAAAUCCAACUUUAAAAAUCUACAACCCACUAUUCUUGGAGAAUAAUCGCUCUAAAGUCCCCCAACUCUCGAAAUUCGCGUUCCAGUCCCUUUUCAUUACGUUCCUCUAGCAGAAAGGUCCUGCUCGCAAGUUUUCACGCAAAACGGAGCACCAAUCGCUUCUAAAAAGCAAAAACAAUACAGAAUAAAUGCCCUCCCAGCGAUAAAAACUAUUUUUCUCGAAAAUCGUGCGUGGAACGCCAUUGGCUCCGGCACAGUCGGACCAUCGAAAAUGAGCUAUUGGAUCAUCCAAAACGGAGUCCGAUUCGCGUUUGAAGCUUACCUCUCUCCUCGAUCACAACCGAAAACGCGGGUUAGUAUUCACUUUAACUGAAAAGUAAUAAUAGCGUAAAAUCUUUAUUUUAAAUUAUUUUUUGCUGAAAUUUGACGGGCAAGCUUAAAAUUAAAAUACACACGAUAAUAUUUAAAAAGAUGUCAAACUUACCUAGGGAAAAAUCUUAGUCCUCACAACUUAGUAGUUAAAUGACCUUUGAUGAAUAUUUAGAUUAUUUCUAUGGUAGUAUGGUGACUCAAACAACGAGAAUACAAACUAUUUAACAAACUAAUUACUAGACGAUGAUAUUUUAGCUACUUAUCCUUUGGAAAUUGAUUCCAAAUUUAUUAACUGGAAAUUGAUUCCGAAUUUAUUAACUGGGAAAAAAUGUUAUUAAAUAUAAGUGUAAUUAAAAACCAACAAGAUAUAGAUGAGAUCCUUAAAAAACUCAAUAAAAUUGAAAUAUUGGGUGAAAACCCAAUAACAUAUUGGGAAAAAGACAAAAUAUUUUUUGAACUAGAUAUAAUAAACACUGAAUAUAUGAUUAAAACUGCUAAUAUAGAAGCCAAUAACCAAGAUUUAAACAAUUUUAAAAUGCAUAUAAACGAACUAACAAAGUUAGGAAUAAUUCGAAAAUCACAAUCUCGCCAUAGAUCUGCUGCAUUUAUUGUUAGAUCUCAUGCUGAAAUAGUAAGGGGAAAAAGUAGAAUGGUAAUAAACUAUAAAAGAUUAAAUGAUAAUACUCGAACAGAUGCCUAUAAUAUACCUGAUAAAUCACAAUUGAUAAAUAGCAUUCAAAAUAGAAAGAUUUUUAGUAAGUUUGAUUGUAAGUCGGGGUUUUGGCAAGUAAAAAUGCACCCUAAUAGUAUAGAAUAGACUGCAUUUACUUGCCCGAAAGGACAUUAUAAAUGGCUUGUAAUGCUCUUUGGAUUAAAAAUGCUCCUUCUAUCUUCCAGAGAAAAAUGGAUACAGAAAUAUGCAAGAACACCUAUAGGAUAUUUUCAAAUAGUUUUUUCUGAAUUUAUAAAACAUGGCAUAAUCAUAAGUAAAAAGAAAAUAGCAUUAUGCCAAACAUAUAUAAAUUUCCUAGGAAUUACUUUAGGUGAUGGAAAGAUUAAAUUACAACCACAUAUAGCCAAAAAGGUCCUCGAAAUGCCAGAUAACUUAAGUAUAGGUGUUCAAAAUAGAAAGAUUAAAUGCCAGACCUUCAAACAUUUUUAGGACUACUUAACUGUGCCCGAAAUUUCAUAAAAGAUUUAGGUAAAAUACCUGGGCCUCUUUAUUCUAAAACUGCUAAAAAUGGACAGAAGACCUUUAACCAUGAAGAUAUUAAGUUAGUUCAAAAAAUUAAACAAUUAGUUGUUAAAUUACCUGAUUUAAAUCUGUCUUUAGAUGCUGACUAUAUUAUUAUAGAGACUGAUGGCUGUGCCCAAGGAUGGGGAGCAGUCCUAAAAGCAAAACCCCAUAAGUACAGUCUUGUUAAAGAAGAAAAAUGUUGUGGAUAUGCUUCUGGAAAAUAUAAAGAAAAAGGAUAUAUAGCAAGCAUAGAUGCGGAAUUAUUAGCAGUUGUAUAUGCUCUAGAUUCCUUUAGACUAAGUAUCAUAAAUAAAAUGAAAUAUUAAUCCGAACAGACAGUGAAACAAUUAUUAAAUUCCAUAAUAAAUUAACUGAUAAAAGUAGUUCUAGGAGGAGAUGGUUAAACUUUUUAGUCUCAAUUAUACCUAAUAUAAAAUUCGAACGUAUAAAAGGGACCGAUAAACCUUUUUGCUGAUAGAAUACAAUUUGGGAAAGAAAGCUUAAUCUAUUUUUUCCAAGAUAAUAAUUUAGUAUUCAAACCAAAAAACCCAAAACCCCUCUCCGAAGAACAAAAAUGCUUAAUAUACAAUCUUUGAAUUUGCUACGGAAGGACACCCGGACAUAAAGAUCUUGACAGAAAAUAUUUUAUUGCAUGCAUAAACUCUCUUACAGAAUAUUUUCAUACUAUUAGGACAACUAAUUUUCCUUUCUAUGUAGUUGUUAACGGUAGAAAAACUGGUGUUUUUCAUACACGGAUCAUACACGGAUCGAAGUUCUAGAAUCCAGUCAGGGAAUGGUAGCUCCCCAAUAUAAAGGCUUUCUUGCCCUAGCAGAAACUUUUGAAAAUGCUCGACAUUUUCUUGGGCCUAACUUCUCUAUAUCGCCUAAUAUAAAAGCUUCUCAAGAAACCUUGCCAACUUGUACUAUAGCUCAUGACUCUACUAAAAUUAUAUUUUGUGAUUAUUGUGAGGAUAUCAGUAGAACGGUCCAAAAACUUAGUUAUCAUAAUCAAACCCUGGUUAAAGAAAAACAGGAUCUACAGAACCGGCUUCUAAUCCUCGAAGACCGCCUCCAUAUAUUAUUUAUUCAAAAUCAAGAACUCAAGACACAAAAUGCAGAGCUCCAACUAAUUGCCUUUCAAGACAUAUCCGACACACUAGCCCAUAGCAAUCAGCCUACUUCAUCUACGCAAUUCUUAUCUACAGGAAGGGCUGACGAAAAACGAAAGGAAAUGUAGAAGGGAAAGAAAAAAUAGAACAAUAUGAGACCGCCAAUAUCACUGACCAAAUUAAACGAAUCCAAGACAGCCAUCUCCAAAUCGAGCAAAUUGUGCAUAAGGUUCUGUUCAAACUUCAACAAAACGCUAAAAUUAUCAAAAAUACUCGGCACUAUUGGCAAGACUCUCAGAUUGACAAUACUCCUAGUAUCUCCCUUCCACCCGAAACACAAGGACAGCCUAGCAAUCAACACUCUAAUAAAAUUACUAAAAAAGAACAGUAAAAAAAGAAAGAAAGAGCAUAUAUGCAUUUUAAAAUCGUUUAAAUCUUGGUUAGUGGCUUCUAUAUUAGCAGUUUUAAUUGUAUAUUCAGGGUUUAUUAUUUCUAGUUCACAGAAUAUUUUGUUUUUUCCCAAUAUUUUAUUGGGUUUUCACCCAUUAUUUCAAUUUUAUCUAGUUUUUUUUAAGGAUCUCAUCUAUAUCUUGUUGGUUUUUAAUACACUUAUAUUUAAUAACAUUUUUUCCCAGUUAAUAAAUUCGGAAUCAAUUUCCAAAGGAUAAGUAGCUGAAGGAUCAUCGUCUAGUAAAUAGUUUGUUAAAUAGUUUGUAUUUUCGUUGCUUGAGUCAACGUAGAAAUAAUCUAAAUAUUCAUCAAAGGUCACUUUGCUACUAAGUUGACAACAAGGUUCUCCUUGUUUGUAAUUUUCACAGCAAUCUUGUUGUUCACUGAGUCUUAUUUGUAAACAAGGUUUUCCUUGGUUACAGUUAAUACAACGUCUUGGCAAUUUGUUGUACUUCUUCUUGACUAGGUUGUUCUUCUUGACUAGGUUGUAUUGCUAUACUAGUUCUUAACCUUUUAGUUAAGAUUAGAGUUUGUGUUAUUCUUUUAGAAAAUUGUACAUAAUCUCUACUAAUAGUCAUGCCUCCUAAGGAGUCGAGUAUGAAGUUUAGUCCUAGUAUGAAGUCUAUAUUAAUAUUAAGUUUCCUUAUCCAAACUUUAGGUAAAUUAUAAUAUUCACUACAGGAAUCGCAAGUAUCAUAGAAACUUAUUUUCAAGUUGUAUGUGUGUAUAGUUCCGUCCAUUUGCAUAGCUACCAUAUGUUCAUAUGCUAAUUUGUAAUAUUGUCUUGGUACUAUGGCAGAAUUUAUUAGACAAGUGGUGCAGCCAGUAUCUACCAAUGCAGUUGUUUCUAUUAUCUGAUUUUUUAUUUUUUUUUUGCAUUUAACUAUUAUGGUCCGAAGACUUUUAUCUAUAUUACAAAUGUAGUUGGUUUCAAGCUGACAAUUUUAGGUUCGUGAUGUUUGUUCCCUUUAUCCGGUAUCUCAGUUUCAAGGAUAAGUCUUUUUCCUUUAUCAUUUCUUAAUUCUAUUUUUGUCUAUUCUUAAUUCUGUUACUAAUAAUCUUUCUUCUAAGGUUUCAAUCCGUUUGGUUAAGGCAAUAUAUUUUGUUUUAUCUAUAUUUAAUGUCUCUUUAGCUUGUAGAGAAAUAUUAUAAAUUUUCUCUAUGCAUGUUAUUCAAACUUCUUUGUAACAGUAUAAACAUUUGCAUCACUUAUCUUUGCUAGAAUGCCAUAAGCAUAUAUAACAUUUUUAACUAUGUAAUCCUGCUUUUAAUUGCCAUUGAUGUUUACAUUCUAAGGUGGGAAUUUCUGUGUUCAUUAAAUUAAGUUGUCCUAGAAUGUCGGCCAUAGAAUCUAUAUCUGGGCUAACUUCAAUAAGUAGGUUAAGAUUAUUUUCUUCCUCAGAGAAACUAUCGUGAUUUUCUUCAUAAGCUUCUAUACUAACUAUCAAAUAUAGUGAUUCAGUGAGGCUUCAUUUGGUUCGGGUAUAAGUAAGAAUUACUUAUUUCAGUGAUAGGUACAAGUUCAGGUAUAAGCAAGAACUAGACCAAUUUUCUAUUUGGAUGAAAAUUGGGUUGUUUCCGGGAAUAAGAAAAAGGACGUUUGAAUGAAAAUUGGGUUAUUUUCGGAAAUAAGAAAAAUAGCGUUUGGAUAGAUAAGAUGGAAUAAGAAAAAUAGUGGUAGUUAUAAAUAAGAAAUGAUGAUAUCACUCCUCUCAUUAGAUUUGAAUUUGAAUUUUUAAAUUUUAUAUUUCAAUUUUUAAAUUUUAAAUUUUAAAUUUCAAAUUUAGAAAUUCAAAUUUAAAAUAUAAAAUCUUAAAUUUUAAAUUUUAAAAUUUAAAAUUUAAGAUCAAAUUUAAAUUUAAAAUUAUAAAAUACAAAUUUUAAAUUUGAAAAAUAUAAAAUAUCAAAUUUUAAAUUUGAAAAAUUUAGAAUCUGAAAUUUUAAAUUUGGAAUUUAAAAAAUUAUAAAUUUUAAUUUUGAAAUUUAAAUUAAAAUUUUUUAAUAAAUUUAAAAUUCUCUCUCCCCCCCCCCCCCCCCAAAGCUUGUUCCUGGAACAUAACAAGCUUGUUCGACCUAAAGGAGGGUGGGAACUAUUGUUUCCGCCAAUUUUUAUUUUGUUUGGGUAUAAUGGAGAGAAUAAGCUCUUAUUUCUCUCUUUAUACCCUAUCCAAACGGUAUAUGAGAGAAUUAUAAAUUUAUAAUUUUAAAUUAUUACAAAUUUAUAAUUUAAAAUUAAAAUUUUUAAAUUUGAAUUUUAAAUUUAAAUUUUAAAUUUUUUAAGUUUAAAAUUGAUAUUUAUAUUUUUCAAAUUUAAAUUUGAUCCUAAAUUUAAAAUUAAAAUUUUUGAAUUUUGAAAUCAACAAUUUGAGAUUUUAAAUUUUAAAUUUGAAAUUUGAAAUUAAAAGUUUAAAAUUUUAAAUUUAAAAAUUGAAAUAUAAAAUUUAAAAUUCAAAUUCAAAUUUAAUGAGAUGGGUAGUAUAAUUAUUUUUUAUUUAUAACUACACACUAUUCUUUUUAUUCCAUCUUAUUUAUCCAAACGCUAUUUUUUUUAUACUCAGGAACAAUCCAAUUUUCAUUCAAACGCAAAAUUGAUCUAGUUUUUGCUUAUACCUGAACUUGUACCUAUUCCUAAAAUAACUAGUUCUUGCUAAUACCCAUUCCAAACGAAGCCUAUUGGUUUGUUGAUGUACAGUUCAUUUUCGGGUUUGUUGAUGUACAGUUCAUUUUCGGAUUGGCCUGUGAAAAAUAUAAUUAAACAUAACUCAAUUAUAAUUUAUAAGGAUGACUUUACUAAUAUAGUAGAAGUCUACCAAAUAUAUUUGUAUGAAUUUUACCUAUAUGUAUGUGUUGUACUCCUUGACUCCAUUGUAAUCUUCUUAUCUUUCUCUUCCCGCCCGAUGCCACUUUCUCUUUCAGUUCUAUAAUUUGUACCCACUUGCCUUGAAGGGUUCUCAUGGUAACAUUUUGUUUCCGUUACCUUGACUUCAAAUUGCUCAUUUACUGCUGCCACUGCAUGAUUGAUCAUUGGAGUUUGAAGGAUUUAUCAACUUUCAGAUCUGCUCGUCCUCAUCGUAGGUUUCCACUUAAACAAUUUCCUUUUCUAGUGCCUCACUUAUUUUGUGAUUCACUCUCCAUGACCUGAAUUAUUGGGAAAAUUUGUUAAGAAAGAUUAUGAUUGAAAGUUGAAAACAAAUUGUGCCAAAAAAAAAAAAAUGGCCGCAUGUCUGAUAAUACACAAACACACAAAACCAAGUGAGAAAUUAUAUAGUAAAAUGGGUAAUAAUUAAAACAUCUAAUUUUUGUCAAAGAAAAGCUACUUUCAUGAAAUAAAUCAAUCUUUCUAUCUAUUAUUUCUAUUUCGCAACUGGUCCAAGGCUAUCCUAUCCCUAAGUUGAACCCACCUUUGAGCCUCAUCUCUGCAUUCUCUUUGAAUCCGUAACCGAAAUGUCUUGGCUGAUUGAGAUAACCGAGCAAUCCAAUCUUCAUCUGUUGGAACCAGCUCCCCCUCCAUGAGGUAUGAUAUAGUUAUGCAUAAUGCAACAUGCAAGCACAAUAUCCACUUGUCUCGAAGGAGGGAAGAAAGGUCUUGCUGUUAAAAUUUUAAGCAAUUUUUUAAGAGAACUGAAAGCACGCUCAACGGUUGUAGGUAGAGGCGCCUAUAAUUGAAGAACUCUUGACGGUUUGCUGGAGUGCAAGAGCCCCAUAAUCGGUAUUGAACCGAUCGGUAUGGUGCUAUUAAUUCUGCUCUUGUCAAAUAAGAGCAUCAUGUGCCAAACCCUAGCAACCAGCUAGAAUAUACUUGAAAUGCAAAUCAAAGUUGAUAGCAGCUAGAGCAUUUUGUGUUGGGUAAGCUUUUCUACCACGAAAAGCUCCAACCUCUGUUGAUGGAACACUUGCGUGAAUGUGUACCAUCAAGUGAUCUGACACAAUCCUACUAUAUGAGAAAAUGUUAACCGUUAGGGAUGUUUGAAACAAAAAAGUUAUGUUGUUAAUACUUCAAACUUUUUCAUAUUCUUACAUGAAAAUACAGUUAAAUACCUUAAAUAAUGACAUAAAUUUGCAAUUGGUGAGUUGCGCAAUGUUUACUAUAUGAGAAAAUGUUAACUGUUAGGGAUGUUUGAAACAAAAAAGUUAUGUUGUUAAUACUUCAGACUUUUUCAUAUUCUUACAUGAAAAUACAGUUAAAUACCUUAAAUAAUGCCAUAAAUUUGCGAUUUGAUGAUAUACUCUCAUUCACUGUUGUAUUUGAAGGCCUUACAAAUUAUUGUGCAACUCACCAAUUGCUUGCAGAACAUGAUUAAAAUACUGACCGACUGUUUCUGCAAUUCGAAUAAAGUUGUGCUCAAUUAUUCUAUUUCUGACAUUUUGUCCAAUAUAUGAGGGAAUAUUGCAAGCUGCUGUUCAACGGUCAUGUGAAGUGUGUUUCUUAGUAAAACCCUUUUGGCGUAAUGUGGGGGACAGUCCAAAGAAUAAUUUUCUUCUCAUCUGCACCAUGUUAAUGCACGUAACAUAACUUUCAAAUAACAAUCUUCGAAUAUAACUAGUUCUUUCAGAUUCCCUAUUAGCCACUGGUUCCGUAAUAAUUUGUGAAUUGUGUUUAAACCAUAAUAAUAUAGUGUGUGUGACCGCUGCAACGCUUGUUCUGUGGCUUCUAUCUUUGCAUCAGAGAUAUUGGAUUCGCCAUUCAUUUGUGUAUGAGAUUUAGGCCUUGUUUGGAUGUCGAAAUAAGUAUCGGGGGAUCUCUAUUCGGUGUGAGAAUUUUUCAUUUUAGGAGUGCUGAUGAAGGUCUUGAACCUUAUAGUAUAUUCGGCCUUCAAAUCAUUUCUUCAGAAUAAGAUAAAUCACCUCGUAUGUGCAAUAUAGUAUCCUACCGAACCAUGGAUGCCAAGACCUACAAGGAAGUAAAAAUUAAACUCGUACCUUCAAAACACACAAGAAAAUUUUCGUACCGAAUAGGUGGUCAUCGAAUAACAUUUUUGACAUCCGAACAAGGCCUUAGCAAAAGAAGAUAAAAAAUGAGUAAAAAGCUUCUUUGUCUAAGAUUUAAUUAAAAAAUAAUAAAUAAAUAAAAUUUGUUUCUUUCAUACAAAGGAUCAAACAUCACACAAAAACCUGUAAGGAGGAUGCCAAGAAAAAAGAAAAAGAUCUUAAUUCAAGAAAAAUGAUUAAUAAAUAAGUCAUAUCUUAAACAUAUGUCAUAACAUGUGAUAAAAAAUUAAUAAUAAACAAACCUUCACAUAAAUCAUAGUGUGUGAUGAAGACAAUCAAGAAAGACCAAGGAAUAGUGGAGGAUUGUGCGCUCACGGGGAGAUGUGUGAUGACAGUGUGACGAUGCGCAGGAUGGGAGAAACGGGACAACACAAAGGGAGGAAAUAUUUGGAGUGAUUUCGGCAAUUAUUAGGGUGCAAAAUGAUGGUGUGAGAGAAAAACGAAAAAUUUUAUGCAUGAAAGAUUAGGUUUUUUUUGUGUGUGUGUGUGUGUGUGUGUGUGUGUGUGUGUGUGUGUGUGUGUGUAUGUGUGUAUGUGUGUCUUGCAGGGUGCUUUUGCUUCAAGUCGUCUGCUGUAGUUGGACCUGCAGCCGACUUGGCCGCUGGUGAAACUGCAGCAGUUUGGCCCCUCUGCAAGUCCAACUGCAGUAGAUGGGUCCAACUGCAAUAAAACAAACAUCUGUUCUGGGUCCUACUAUGAUUGGACCUAUAAUGCUACUCCAAAUGCAGGCUACCAACCAAACAGGCCCUAUUAAGUGUUAAUAGAGCUAAUUUGGACCCAAACCAUUAUGUGGACAAAAGAAAUGCUACAACUUACUGGAUACUGCCUUCUGCCUUAAUUUUCUCUUGGUUGUAAAGCUAAAGUUUGUAGCUAAUGUGCUUCUUGCUCUUUCAAAUCAAGAUUAACCUGCUGCUCCACGUGGAUCACCAUUAAGAUUAAUUUGGAGUUAAGUUUUUAGAUUAUGUUUUCUUGGAAGAUUUUCUGAAGAUGAAUUAGAUUCUUAGUUGAAACUCAAUUACAACAAAAUAAAACUGUUAAGUUGCUUUAUGCUAACAUUGAUAAAAUCUCUUCUAAAAUGUUCUCAUCUCGACAAAGUUGAUUUUGUGCUGCUUAAUGGCUUGACUGCUCAUUUCUUACUCUAUCAAGAACAGGAUCUUUGAUUAAAAAAUUAUCCUACUUUUCUUAUUCAGGCCAAUCCAUGAUGUGAAGAUUUUGCGGACGGUCGUCAAGGAUUGAUUUUUUGCGCCGCAGCUAAUCGGGCUUCAUUUCCUCUGGAGAUAAUCUCGUCGUCUUUUACGCUGAACAAUCUCUCAACUUUUGUGCCUUAUUGUUGAGGCCUAUCUCUAUUGUGAGCCUUAAAAGAUUUUGGGGUUGUUAUGUUCACAUAAUUCUUGUUACUAGCAAGAUGAUGUUGGAAAAACACAUGGUUUAGGAUGUUGAAAACAAGAACAUUGUUAGUCGGAUGAUGCUGUAAAAACAUAUGGUGUGGGAUGUUCAAACCAAGAAAUUCUCACCGAUUUGUGCUCUUUAAGAAUAGUUUAAUCGCUUGGUUUCUACCAAUCACUGUGACAUCUUAAACGUUUGGUUUACAUCAGUUACGUCUCUAUGGUUUAUAUCACUUGUAUGAUUGGACGAAAUUAUUCAACAUUUUUUUCCUAUUUUUCUAAUGAAAUAAUAUAUUCAUGUCAUUAUUAACUCUUGAAUGCUCUAUUUGGACUUGUGUCGAUCCAUAUCCACAGGAUAUGCCUACUAUUUGAGGAGCAGGAAAUAAGCCAGCUGCAGGCAGCACACCUCGGUGCCGGUGCGACACUCUUUGUCAUUCGGUCGUUCCACCAAAAGUCAACCGCGUCCAAUUUGGGAAAUCCGCUUUAAAAUAUCUCGGGACUAAAAAUUCAGUUCGAAUAACUUGGAUUUAAUAUACUCACCACAGGACAUUGCGUUAUAUACGAUAAAAAAAAAUUAUGAUAGAAAAAUAAUUUAUUUGACAUUAUAUUUCUGCGUAUCGUAAUAUAUUUUUGGUAGCCUAACCGGAGAAGAAGCAUAUUUUUUUUUGGUCAAUAGGUUUACGCUGUCGAAACAGUCGUUUUCUUCAAAAAUUUAAGCUAUCAGAGAAUAAUAUUUUUAGUAUUUACAUUCAACGCAUUCGCUCACGUCCGGGCACAAAAUUUUGCGAUAGAUAUGGGCUAAAAGUAAAUGAGAGAAACUCCAGCUUUAUAUAUGAGAGAAAAUUUUGCGAUAGAUAUGGGCACAAAAUUUUGCGAUAUAUAUGACUUGGAUUGUGGCGGGAUCCGAAUUCAGAAUCUCCAGCUUUAAUACCAUAUUACCCUAAUAAAGAUCGAUUUAAUAGGAACCGGAUUUAAAAAUAUAACUUGACAUCCCCACCAUUCAUAUGCAUGAAGGAUAUAAAAGGCGCAUAGAUCGAUUGAUAGCUAUGGAAGGAUAUAGGGAUUUUAUUGGUAAUUUAACUUGUUAAAUAUUGAAUAUGGAGUUCAGAUCAAUUAGCACUGAUACUAUACUAUCCAAAAAAAUCAAUCUUUUGGAUUGUGUAGACGACUCUCAUACCAAAUGAGCCUUUAGAAAAUAGUCUUGCUUUUGUUCCUUGAUCUUCUUUUUUGUAUUUGAGAGAAAGUUAGUAUGCUAUACGAUUUAUUUAUUUUUUAAAAAAUAAAUUUAGCUAGAAAUAUGAAAUAGUUAGGCUUCAAACUUAGAACUGCGCUUUCUCUUAAUCUUCUUGUUGGUUGUAUUUGUAUCAAGCUCUUUAAUAAAUAUGCCUAGAAACUUUCUCUCAGAAAAAUUGGUUUGAAAAAUUAAUUUCGUAUCUCUGGCAACUGAAAAAUUAAUCUGUAUUAAGCUGAGAAUUAAAUCUAAAUAGUUGAAUAUAAUCUUAAUUUUUUUUAAAAAAUUAUUACAUAUAUUUAUUUUAUAAUGUAUUAUAUUAUUCUUAGCUUAGAUUGAUACUGAAUUUAAUUUUUUUCUCAAUAAUUUUAAAUUUACAGCGAGAUAAUAUUAAGGACAUGUUUGGUUUAUGAUUGGAAUGGAAAUGAAAAAUAAAAUUAAAUUAUUUUGGAAUGAAAAAUGGAAUUAGAAAUCAUUCAAAAAUAUUUGGUCCAUUAUUGGAACGGAAAUCGGAAUGAGAUUCUACGAUUUUGAGAGGAGGUUUUGAUUAAGAGAGAUAAAGGGAGAGGGGGAAGGUGUUUAGAAGAGAGAAUUUUAGAUAAUUUACUUUGGAAUGGAUCAAUCCGGAGUUCAAAGCCGGAUUGGACCAUAUAUGAAUUUGACCAUUUUUAUUCUAGAGUGGAAUGAGAAUCAGAAUCUGAUUCCUGUAAAACAAACAACAUUUAUCAAAAUCGAUGAAUUCUAUUUCGAUUCCAUAAUUUAAAAUAAGUGAACCAAACAUGCCCUAAAUUUUGUCGAGAAUUACCAACCCAACUAAUUAGAC
rnacentral:lncRNA from 1 species